AACGAACGCUGGCGGCAGGCUUAACACAUGCAAGUCGAACGGGCGUAGCAAUACGUCAGUGGCAGACGGGUGAGUAACACGUGGGAACGUCCCCCUCGGUUCGGAAUAACUCAGGGAAACUUGAGCUAAUACCGGAUACGUCCGAGAGGAGAAAGAUUUAUCGCCGAGGGAUCGGCCCGCGUCUGAUUAGCUAGUUGGUGAGGUAAUGGCUCACCAAGGCGACGAUCAGUAGCUGGUCUGAGAGGAUGAUCAGCCACACUGGGACUGAGACACGGCCCAGACUCCUACGGGAGGCAGCAGUGGGGAAUAUUGGACAAUGGGCGCAAGCUUGAUCCAGCCAUGCCGCGUGAGUGAUGAAGGCCUUAGGGUUGUAAAGCUCUUUUGCCAGGGAAGAUAAUGACUGUACCUGGAGAAUAAGCCCCGGCUAACUUCGUGCCAGCAGCCGCGGUAA
rnacentral:rRNA from 1 species